AAAAAAAAUUAUAAGAACAAACAGCUCCCAGCCCCUUAAUUAGUGAUACCCCAGGAUUAGGGCUUGACCUGGGGGCUCUGGGUUUGGUUGUUCAUAGGCUCCAGGGCCUUCCCGUGUCUUACCUCAUCAUAUACCCUAGCCUUAGACUUCGCAACAGUUACAAUCUCCUCCAGGUCUACCAUGAAACAAAGAAAUUCCUUGGCCACACAAGCCUGUAGCCAUGAUGUUCUGCCAAGUGGAUGGAGCUGAGCAAUCAUAGAACCCUCCAAAACUAGGAGCCAAACACUACCCACAACAGCCAAGUUAUGAAAUCAGCCUGGAUGCCCAUCAAGAGACAAAGACAAAGAAAACCUGAUACUGAUCUAUGUGCACAGAGGAGUUCAGCCAUAAAGAGUGAAGUUGUAUUGUUUGCAACCAGAGAUCAUCAUAAGAAACAAAAUAAGCCAGUCUCAAAAAGACUUUUAGAGAUAAAUAAAACUUUACACAUACACAUAAAACUUUGUGUGUGUAUGUGUAUCUGAGCUUAUAUGGAAGUGGAAGUGGAGCUGAGAGCGAAGGAGACUUGCAAGGAGUGAGGU